rnacentral:piRNA from 1 species
CAAGUGUGCAUUUGAGUGGGAAACUUU